rnacentral:rRNA from 1 species
UCUGAAUUUUCCACGGAAGCCGGCUCAAAAUAUUUGAUCUUAGGUGCAUUUCCCUCUGGAAUAUUAUUGUUCGGGUGCGACCGGACUACUACCGAUCAAUUUUUUGGAACUUAUUUAUAG